UUUUACGGAGAGUUUGAUCCUGGCUCAGGACGAACGCUGGCGGCGUGCCUAAUACAUGCAAGUCGAGCGGGGGUGUUGAGGUAGCUUGCUACCGAGGCAUCCUAGCGGCGGACG
rnacentral:rRNA from 1 species